rnacentral:tRNA from 1 species
GCCCUCGUAGCUCAAUGGUAGAGCGCGUCACUAGUACUCUAAAAAAUGACGAGGCUGCCGGUUCGAUUCCGUCCGAGGGCA